GAUGAACGCUGGCGGCGUGCCUAAUACAUGCAAGUCGAGCGAACGGACGAGGAUCUCACUUCUCUGAUGUUACCGGCGGACGGGUAAGUAACACGUGGAUAACCUACCUAUAAGACUGGGAUAACUUCGGGAAACCGGAGCUAAUACCGGGUAAUAUUUUGAACGGCAUGGUUCAAAAGUUAAAGACGUUCUUGCUGUCCCCUCUAGAUGUAAGCGCGCUGCAUGGGUUAGUUGGUAAGGUAGCGGCUUACCAAGGCAACGAUGCAUAGCCGACCUGAGAGCGGGUACGGCGACACAGAGGCUGAGACACGGUCCAGACUCCGACGGGAGGCAGCAGUAGCGAAGCUUGGGCAAUGGGCGAAAGCCUGCAGGAGCAACGCCGCGUGGGUGAUGAAGGGCUUCGGAUCGUAAGACUCUGUUCGUAGUGAAGACCACAUGUGCAAGUAACUGUGCACAUCUUGACGGUACCUAAACAGAAAGCCACGGCUAACUACGUG
rnacentral:rRNA from 1 species